rnacentral:rRNA from 1 species
GUCUACAGCCAUGCCACCCUAAACAAGCCUGAUCCCGUCUGAUCUCAGAAGCUAAGCAGAAUCGGGCCUGGUUAGUACUUGGAUGGGAGACCAUGUAGGAAGACCAGGUGCUGUAGGCA